AGCUAGGAUAUACUACUAAAUGUUAAUUUGCUUGAGCAGGCUUGGUCACAGUCUUUCAAUUGUAUCUCUUCUCAAUAUGUUCCAGCAAUAUAUGAGCUAUGAAGGAAGUUCUAUUUGUACAAAGGAAGAGAUUUCUGUUCCAGCAAUAUAUGUCAGAGUGGUAAUUCAUGAUUAAAACUGGUAUGUGAUUACAUUACUGCAGGUUGCUGAGGGGUAGAUUCCACUCGUGGUAGCUAAAGGAGAGGAGAUAGCACGUUAUAAAGGACUUGAUCCGACAGAGCGUUUACUAAUGUUAAAAGCACUCUGUGAACUCCGAGCCGAUGUAUUUACUCCUUUGUCAUUAUUUUUUCUGUUUCUUAAUGUCAAGUGGUGUACAUACCGGAUAUCCUAGCUUUAUGUUACCAUUUGUUUUGGUAUUUUGAUGAGCCUCCUGCUAGCUAGUUUUAGUUUUUGCUUUAGUUAUAGGCAUGGUUAAUGCAAUGUGGACGCGUUUAUGUUUUCCGGCUUUAUGCAGUUAUAGCCACUUAGGCAAUGUUAAUUCUUAUGUAAAUGUUGGGAUGAAUAUUGCUGAUGAAUGAAAUGGCUUUUGGAAUCAA